rnacentral:rRNA from 1 species
UACGUAGGGGCCUAGCGUUGUCCGGAUUUAUUGGGCCUAAAGCAUCCGUAGCCGGUUCUACAAGUCUUCCGUUAAAUCCACCUGCUUAACAGAUGGGCUGCGGAAGAUACUAUGGAGCUAGGAGGCGGGAGAGGCAAGCGGUACUCGAUGGGUAGGGGUAAAAUCCGUUGAUCCAUUGAAGACCACCAGUGGCGAAGGCGGCUUGCCAGAACGCGCUCGACGGUGAGGGAUGAAAGCUGGGGGAGCAAACCGG